AUGACUUUGAUCUCCGUCCUCAUCUGGACUCUCCUCUGCUGCUGCUUCACAGAGUCCAGAGGCCAGAUCACAGUGACUCAGCCUGCAGCAGUGAGAUCUGCUCUGGGAGGCUCCACAACCAUCAAAUGUAAAACCAGUCCACAGGUUUUUAUUGGGAGCUACCACUAUUUAGCCUGGUACCAACAGAGAGAUGGAGAAAUUCCUAAGCUGCUCAUUACCAGAUCUACUUACAGAGAAUCAGGGAUUCCAGAUCGUUUUUCAGGCAGCGGAUCAAACUCUGACUUCACUCUGACCAUCAGUGGAGUUCAGGCUGAAGAUGCAGCAGUUUAUUACUGUCAGAGUCUCCACUAUCCCAACAGUCAGUAUGUGUACACGUUCGGUGGAGGAACGAGACUGGAUGUUGGAAGUGAUGUCCGUCCCACCCUGACAGUGCUGCCCCCCUCCAGUGAGGAGCUGCAGCAGGGGAAGGCCACGCUCAUGUGUCUGGCCAAUGAUGGCUUCCCCUCAGACUGGAGUCUGGCCUGGAAGGUGGACGGCAGGAGCAGCAGCAGCUUGGAGCAGAGCAGGAGCCCCGGGGUGCUGCAGAAGGACGGCCGCUACAGCUGGAGCAGCACCCUGAGGCUCCCUGCAGACCAGUGGAGGAAGGUGGUCUCUGUGACCUGUGAGGCCACCCAGGGCUCCCAGACUCCAGUCUCAGAGACACUGAGGAGAGACCAGUGUUCCCAGUCCUGA